rfam:Ovis aries breed Texel chromosome 2, whole genome shotgun sequence.
UCCCUGGUGGUCCAGUGGUUAAGACUCUGUUAUCCAAAUGCGGAGGGCACGGAUUCAAUCUCUGGUCAGGGAA